GACGAACCGAGCGAACGUUAUUCGGAAUAACUGGGCUUAAAGGGUGCGUAGGCGGGCUGUCAAGUCUGGGGUGAAAUCCGGCAGCUUAACUGUCGAACCGCCUUAGAUACUGAUGGCCUCGAGGAAGGUGAGGGCAUGCGGGAACUGUAGGUGGAGCGGUGAAAUGCGUUGAUAUCUACAGGAACUCCGGUGGCGAAAGCGGCGUGCUGGACCUUUUCUGACGCUGAGGCACGAAAGCUAGGGAG
rnacentral:rRNA from 1 species